GACAGUGUCAUGGGAAUAAGGUGGAAGAAGUUUGUGUUUCAAGGGGUGAAAUAUUCCCAUAGCUUGAGGUCCAAUUUCAACAGGGAAGUAAUUCUUUUUAUCAAGAAAAGCUUAUUCUUCAGUUCUGGGAUGCAUAGCGUGUUGUCUCUCUCAUGAAAGUAAUGUUGCAAACAAGCUAGCAAGCACCCAGGCUGAAUAAGAUCAGUAUCUGGAAGAAUCUGAG